rnacentral:rRNA from 1 species
AAAGAUUAAGCCAUGCAUGUCUAAGUAUAAAUCGAAACGAUGAAACCGCAAACGGCUCAUUACACCAGCAGUGAUCUAUUUGACCUUGAUAACCUACUUGGAUAACUGUGGUAAUUCUAGAGCUAAUACAUGCACAAAAACUCCCAACGCAAGGAGGGAGCGCAUUUGUUCGCCACAAAACCAAGCCCCCUCGGGGGUUGAGUGUUGAAUCAGAGCAACUAAGCUGAGCGCACGGUCUUGCACCGGCGCCGUAUCAUUCGAGCUUCUGCCCUAUCAACUUUCGACGGUAGUGUCUCUGGCUACCGUGGUGGUGACGGGUAACGGAGGAUCAGGGUUCGACUCCGGAGAAGGGGCCUGAGAAAUGGCCACUAUGUCUAAGGAUAGCAGCAGGCGCGCAAAUUACCCACUCUCAGCAUGAGGAGGUAGUGACGAGAAAUAACGAGGCCGUUCUCAUACGAGGCCGGCCAUUGGAAUGGAAGAGGUUUAAAACCCCCAUUGAGUAUCUACGAGAGGGCAAGUCUGGUGCCAGCAGCCGCGGUAAUUCCAGCUCUCGAAAUGCAUAGAACCAUUGCUGCGGUUAAAAAGCUCGUAGUUGGACUUCCGUCGCACCACCGGUCCAUCUCCGGAUGCGCACUGGUCGGCGUGGCUUUUGGCCGGUUUCAUCUGGCAGUUGGCUUCGCUGUCGGCUGUCAGGGACUGGCGAAUUUACCUUGAACAAAUCAGAGUGCUCAAAACAAGCGUUUGCUUGAAUGUUCUUGCAUGGAAUAAUAGAAGAGGAUCACGGUCCGAUUUUAUUGGCUUUGCGGACUGAGAUAAUGGUUAACAGAGACAAACGGGGGCAUUUGUAUUGCGGCGUGAGAGGUGAAAUUCUUGGACCGCCGCAAGACAAACUACAGCGAAAGCACUUGCCAAGAAUGUCUUCAUUAAUCAAGAACGAAAGUCAGAGGAUCGAAGGCGAUCAGAUACCGCCCUAGUUCUGACCGUAAACGAUGCCAACUCGCGAUCCGCCGGCGGAGCAUUUCGCCCUGGUGGGGAGCGUCCCGGAAACGAAAGUCUUCCGGUUCCGGGGGAAGUAUGGUUGCAAAGCUGAAACUUAAAGGAAUUGACGGAAGGGCACCACCAGGAGUGGAGCCUGCGGCUUAAUUUGACUCAACGCGAGGAACCUCACCCGGCCCGGACACCGUAAGGAUUGACCGAUCGACAGCUCAUUCAUGAUUCGGUGGUUGGUGGUGCAUGGCCGUUCUUAGUUCGUGGAUUUGAUCUGUCUGCUUUAUUGCGAUAACCGAGCGAGACCCACGCCUGCUAACUAGUCCGUGCAUUGCCAUUGUGCACGCCGACUUCUUAGAGGGAUUCGCGGUGUUCAGCCGUUUGAAAGUGGGCAAUAACAGGUCUGUGAUGCCCUUAGAUGUCCGGGGCUGCACGCGGGCUACACUGGCAAAACCAGCGUGCCUGUCCUGCCUCGAAGGAGGUGGGUAAACCCGGCAAAAUUUGCCGUGAUUGGGAUCGGAGAUUGCAAUUAUUUUCCGUGAACGAGGAAUUCCAAGUAAGUGCGAGUCAUCAGCUCGCGUUGAUUACGUCCCUGCCCUUUGUACACACCGCCCGUCGCUGCCCGGGACUGAGCCGAUUCGAGAAAUCCGGGGAUCGCCGGUCUGAUGUCUUCGGGCGUCUCUCUGGUGAGAACCGGCUUAAUCGCAUCAGUUUGAACCGGGCAAAAGUCGUAACAAGGUUGCUGUAGGUGAACCUGCAGCAGGAUCAUUACUUACAAGUGAACCUAUCCAAUACGAUUCCGUCCUUUGGUGGGCAGUGCCCCUCAGGCAUUGGCGAAACCCAUCAAAUGUGACGCGAACGGCUGGGUUGGCGUCUGUGAGUCGUGGAGCAGUUGUAGUCCAUGUCCGUGGCUGCGAUGAUGCGACUCGGUAGGGCUGUCAUCGCCUUUGGCAGCUUAAGACUUGAUGAGCGCAGACCAAGCGCCGCCAACAACCAUUUUUUUCCAAUAAACUUUUUCAAAUGCCAUUCAAGGCAAACAAGAAUUCUAGCCUUAUCGGUGGAUCACUCGGCUCGUA